rnacentral:tRNA from 1 species
CCGACCUUAGCUCAGUUGGUAGAGCGGAGGACUGUAGUGUUCGCAGAAUAAAUCCUUAGGUCGCUGGUUCGAAUCCGGCAGGUCGGA